rnacentral:rRNA from 1 species
GGUGCAUGGUUGUCGUCAGCUCGUGUCGUGAGAUGUUGGGUUAAGUCCGCAACGAGCGCAACCCUCGACCUUAGUUGCCAGCAUUCAGUUGGGCACUCUAAGGUGACUGCCGGCUAAAAGUCGGAGGAAGGUGGGGAUGACGUCAAAUCAUCAUGCCCCUUAUGACCUGGGCUACACACGUGCUACAAUGGGCGGUACAAAGGGUCGCGAACCCGCGAGGGGGAGCCAAUCCCAAAAAGCCGCUCUCAGUUCGGAUUGCAGGCUGCAACUCGCCUGCAUGAAGCCGGAAUCGCUAGUAAUCGCGGAUCAGCAUGCCGCGGUGAAUACGUUCCCGGGCCUU